AUUUUCUGGUACUCUUGUUAAAAUGCAGAUUCUGGUUCAGUAGAUCUUAGGCCCCAAGAUUGUGCAUUUCUAACAAGCUCCCAGAGGAUGAUGA
rnacentral:pre_miRNA from 1 species